GGGUCUCUUGAGACCCGGCCAAUACCAGGCACCCAAAACAAAUCACCAUUGAUAAGUGCAAGUGUGGGAUUCCCAACCUUGUGCAUCAAAGUUCAGUGGGUACCCAAAGCAAUGCUUACACAAGGGGGAAGAACCUAAUUCUAAGAGUAGUGUGAUUGUGAUAGAAUUUGAAGGAGUUGAGUUGGAAAAAGUUUUACAUGAAGGACAGUUUGAGAAAAACAGUAGAAGAGUGAAAAAUUUUAAUUGAAUUUGAAAAAAGUUACUUUGAGGCUAGUUUUGAAAGCAACAGUCACACAGGCAAAGAUAAAGGCAAAGGAAGCAAACAAAUCACAAACAAGUCAGUCAGUCGCACACAUUUAAGGGAGAGUUAAUGCUUCAAACAAGAGUCUAGUUCUUACAGCACCAGACACCAAACUAAAUCAUUCUCAAAAGUGUAUUGGAGGCUAUGGAGUAGCCAACGGGAUGCUAGUAGUAUACAAAAGCAAAAGGGGAAACAUGCAUUGGGUAGGCAAGGGGGUAAUGAACAUGCUAGGCUUACUAAAUAAAACAUAUGCAUGCUAGUUGCAAUAGGAGCAGCAGAACCACAAGUAGAAACAUACAAGUAACAAAAGAAAGUGCAGCACCAAUAGAAGCAUAUUGUUUUUGAGGCUGUAGCUUAAAUAAGAUACAUACCAGUUGAAAAUAAUGUAAACACAGAGCUGUAGUGAGCAAUAUUGUGCAGAGAAGUGAGCAGUAGUGUGUAGAGAGAAACAGAGAGCAGAGCAGCAGUAUGCAAGAAGUGAGCAGCAGGCAGACCCAAAGCAAGUAACACAGAAAAGACCAACAGAAUGAUAAAAGUGACCAAGGUUACUCAAUCUUAGCCAACUGAGUGAUUAACAUCCAACAUGAAAAUGAAAGAAAUUAUGUAGAAGCAAAGAGCACAAAGAUGUUUUUGUGAAAGAGAGAGGGUUUAGAACACUGAUUUUAGUUGUGUCUGUGUGUGUCAAGUGUUAAGCAAUGUGUUGGUGCUUGCAAAGAGAAUGGGAGGGUACUUAUAGUACUGAAUACGAGUAAACAAACAAGGCAGCAAUCUCUAAUUAAGGAACUGGCAUAAAACAUAAUCAAAUCAGUAUAAGGACUACGCUUUAAUUAAGGAAUCAAAGUUAAAUGGAAAUAUGCAACUGGUUAAAAGGAAAGAAAUCACAACUAUGAUCACAUAAGGAACAUAACAUCAUAAAGUAUGCAAUAUAGACUAGGUACAUGAUAGUCUAAUUAGGGAAACAGGUCAGGCAAAUCAAUCAACAUACUCAUGCACACAUACAGGGCGGGAUACUGCUCCUAAUAUGGACAAUAAUCUCCAAAAAAUAAGGAACAAGAUUGAGAACUUAGGAGACCAAUAUUAAUAGAGGAAAG
rnacentral:lncRNA from 1 species